rnacentral:misc_RNA from 1 species
UAGGACUAAAUCGCACAUUCACGAACCAUCACGAAAAGUCUUUGGAAUAUAUGCAAUACGUCUUUUGAACAGGUGAAACCCAGCAGUCAGUGAAGAUCUGAAUCACUACUAUUAUACGACAAUAGUAUAAAGAGCAGUAUAAUGGAAGCUAGUGUGGUUGAAGCACAUAAUAAAAGCUGGUGGGAAAACAGUGAAUCUUGGAUAGAAAAGGUUAGUAAAUAUCUUAAUACAGAACCUUUUUUUUCGUACGCAAUACCAACGCUAUAUGCAUUCUGUGCAAUGUCAUUUCUUGCAAACAUGCUUGUUGUGGUGUUGAUUAUUACCACCAGGAGGCUCCGUAAGAAACAGAACAUCUUUAUGAUUUUACUCGCUAUUUCUGACGCUGUAAGCUCCUUGUUCACUGCACUUAUGUAUGUGUUUCUGUCACUAAUGAAGAAUGGUCAGUCUUUAAUAAGGAUGGUAUCAAGUGCAACGCUGUUAAUAUCACUUUUUGCAGUUUCAUGUGUUGCCAUCGAUCGCUACAUCGCACUUGUGUGGGCACCAAUGAAAUAUCACCUUAUUGUUACUCCCAAAUCUUGUACACUCGCAGUCAUCAUCGUAAUUGCAAGCCAGACAUUUGUUGGCAUAUUACUUAACCUAUAUCGCCAGUGUGAGAUCUGUUUUCCAAUGAUUUUAUUUCUGUAUAUUGCAUUAAAUGUGACUUUAUAUAUUGUCAUCUACAAAAGUAUCGGAAACAACCGCAAGAGCAUCUCUAUACCAAGGCAUACAUUGGAUGAGUCUAAAAGGCUGCUGAGAACAUUUUGUAUUAUAGUGGGAGUGUUUACUUUGACAUUAGGACUAGUUUGUUUCAUGUACAUUUUUUUAAUUGUGAAUGGGACAAUUCCUGACCCAAAAACUGUUAUUACAUAUUAUUUAUGUUAUUUUUUGAUGACGAUUAACUCUCUUGCGAAUCCAAUAAUUUACUGGUUUCGACUUUCUGAAUUCCGAAAAGCAGUUAAAAACAUAUUUUGUCUCAGGAUUGAAGUUAACUGAGAACUGCGUAACUAAUGUAAAAUACAGUGAACAAUAAACAGUAUGAUAUUGAACAUUUUAUAGAAAAAUUAAUUUUAAGUUAAAUAUACUGGGGUUAACUUUGUCAGUUUCAGUACAAAAGGUUUUCACAAAACAGUUUGUGAAAUAUAAAGCCUACUCUUAGUGCAGAAUCAAAGUGUAUUACUACAAAUUUGUUUCGUAUGAAUAGCUGUCAAAUGCUGCCCGCACUCAUCAGGUAAGAAUACAUAGUGAGUAGUCAGUUCAAGAAUUAUAUGUAUGCUAAUUAGAUCAUGGAGGAAUUAGAUAAGGCAAAUAUAUGUUUGCUAUAGAAUACUACAAUGUUAUGUCAUGAUACCACAUUAUACUACUCCGUUGCUAUCGGCGACACAAAAUGCGUUCAACCGAUGCUAUUUUCUCUAUUCACAAACCAUUGGUCCCAAUUUCUAAAAUAAUUACUGUAUUAAGAAGUUGUAUCUUAAGUUUUCUUUGUAAACGUUAAUUGAUGAUUAAAUAUCUG